AGUGAUCCUUAUUAUUAAUAGAUCACUUUUUAUCAUGUUAUGGUUUCUAGCAUUGGAUAAUCGGUAUAGCCAACAACAGGAUCUGAUGUAUAGAAUGUCUCUCUAUUAUACUUGUUGAGAGGAGCAUUUAGCUCAAAUCGCUUUGGUAAAUCUGGAUUAGAUAUGAAUAAACGUCCAUACGCAACAAGAUCAGCUCCAUCUUCAACCACAACUCUGUUUCCAUCUUCUCUAUCGUAACCACCAGCUACUAUAAAAGUACCUUUAAAUGCCUUCCUCAAAGGUACAAGGCUUUCACCACAUUCAAUUUUUUCACAAGUUGUUUUCAUCCUAGGCUCAACUACGUGGCAAUACGCGAUAUCAUACUUGUUCAACGAUUCCACCAUGUAAAGUCCCAAAGCACUGGGGUUGGUGUCUCCUUAUUCAUUAUAAUUUGCAAAUGGGGAAAUCCUUAUACCAACUCGGUCAGAUCCUAUCUCAUUUGCAACUGCUUCAACUAUUUCUAGUGCAAAUCUACAACGAUUCUCUAAAGACCCUCCAUAUUUAUCACUUCGAUCAUUAACUUGAUCUUUCAUAAACUAAUCGAUGAGA